CCCAUCAGGGCUUCCUGAGCCCAGGGCUUUGGGCAGUCAGGAAAGAGCAGUAACAUCCCUUGGACAACUCCUGCCAAAGGAGCUGAGAGGGAGCUGUCUCUGGAAUGUGAGUUUCUGGUUCCCAGGGUUGCAGGUUCUGCUGGGGUCUAUUGCCUAGGAAGUGACGUCACCUCUAGGGGUCCAUUUCCUGGGCUUCCUUUUCAGAAAAUCCUUCCGAAAGGUUUCUGGGCUGCUGAUUGCUCAGCCUCCACCCCUAUGAUGAGGCAUAGCUCCCCCACAGUGCCUGGGACAGGCCUGUGCAAAGCCAGGGUCCAGCUUAAGGAGACAGAGCUUGUUUUAAGAUAGGAUUUAUUAGAUAGAAAGGAAUACAGAGUACAUUGGAUACCUUUUCUUCCAUUCUUGAGAUGCUUUACUAAGAAGAAUAUGUUCCAGCUCCAUCCAUGUAAACAUGAAAGAGAGCAUUUAUUGAACACUCUGGCAAAGACGCUGUGGUAGAUAAUGGAGUUAUAGAGACGAAUCAA